UUUGUAGGUGAUGUUCUGGAAAUUGCUGAAGAAGCUGGAUAUGCCUACCUCACAGUCAUUUAAAAGAUUGGACACCACUGCAACUUUCACGAUCUUCAAUUUGCUAAGUGCCCCAGACUCCGACUGGAAUACAGAUGGAGAAGUCACACUUGCCAACCGUGAAUCUUGGAAAUUCACAGGAGUCAGGCGGCGAACUGGAUGAAAUCUACACUUCUCGGUUGGGGUUGAACCUGCGGGCGGAAAUACUUCUCCCCUGCUAAGAGUCCCAUUCUAACGGUGAAAUCAAGCCACACGCUCCCCAAUCCCCACUUAGAUACCUCUGAGAACUUCAAAAUACGCUUUUUUUUCUGAAAGAGAGAUCAAUAAUUCCCCGUGAUUUGAAAUCUUAAAGACAGUACUGCACGAGAACCCAAUUAAAGAAUACUGGGGGGAAGGAAAAAAGAAAUCGCUUCCAAAAGUUUACCUUGUCCCGAGCUCCAAAAGUUAGGAUGCCCUCAAGUACCGCAAAAGUUGGAAACAGGAGGUAAAGUGGAGGCUGAGCGCUUCUCGCUCACCUUAAGUGUGUCUGUGGCUGUGGGUGUGUGUGCGAGAGAGGGUAUGUCCAGAAUGUCUCUUUGUGGAGUGGCAGAGGUCCUGAUCCAGGGAAGAAGGAACCACUUU